GGGCCAAAAAUAUUUACUGUGAAUCAAUAUGAGAGUCUUAUCUCUACCAAAAUGACUCUCUGCAUAGAGCUCCUAUACUAUCUUCUCCCGUAAAGAACAAUCGGAGAUAUAGAUCUGUACACCUCAAAACAAGAAGCCAUCAUGUAAUUGGAAAUCAGUUCAUUCAUUAGAAUGUACCUCUUGUAGAAUUUGGCCAAAGUUUGGAUCACUGGCAUAGAGGUCCUUCAAGAUAAAAUCCAAUCAUCUCCACAC
rnacentral:lncRNA from 1 species